ensembl:miRNA
GCCCGGAAACCUCUGGGUUCUGAGCUGUGACGUGGCUUCUGAGCUGGGAUCUCGGGGGUCUUGGUUCAUGGUUUGGGUCUCUGGGUUCUGGGC